GCUGGCGGCGUGCCUAACACAUGCAAGUCGAACGAGAAAGUGGAGCAAUCCAUGAGUAAAGUGGCGACCGGGUGAGUAACACGUGACUAACCUACCUUUUAGUGGGGGAUAACUCCGGGAAACCGGAGCUAAUACCGCAUAACAUCGCAAGAUCAAAGCAGCAAUGCGCUGGAAGAGGGGGUCGCGGCUGAUUAGCUAGUUGGCGGGGUAACGGCCCACCAAGGCGAAGAUCGGUAUCCGGCCUGAGAGGGCGCACGGACACACUGGAACUGAAACACGGUCCAGACUCCUACGGGAGGCAGCAGUGGGGAAUUUUGCGCAAUGGGGGAAACCCUGACGCAGCAACGCCGCGUGGAGGAUGAAGCCCCUUGGGGCGUAAACUCCUUUCGACCAAGACGAUAAUGACGGUACUGGUGGAAGAAGCACCGGCUAACUCUGUGCCAGCAGCCGCGGUAAUACAGAGGGUGCAAGCGUUGUUCGGAAUUAUUGGGCGUAAAGGGCGCGUANGCGGCGCGACAAGUCACUUGUGAAAUCUCCGGGCUUAACUCGGAGCCUGCAGGCGAAACUGUCGUGCUGGAGUAUGGGAGAGGUGCGUGGAAUUCCCGGUGUA
rnacentral:rRNA from 1 species